rnacentral:rRNA from 1 species
AGCAGCCGCGGUAAUUCCAGCUCCAAUAGCGUAUAUUAAAGUUGUUGCAGUUAAAAAGCUCGUAGUUGAAUUUCGGGAUCAGAUUGUCGGUCGUGCCUCGGUACGCACUGGCAUUAUUGGUUCCUACCUUCUGAAGAACCGCGAUGUCAUUAAUUUGGUGUCCUGGGGAAUCAGGACUGUUACUUUGAAAAAAUUAGAGUGUUUAAAGCAGGCGCACGCUUGAAUACAUUAGCAUGGAAUAAUGAAAUAGGACGUUUGAUUCUAUUUUGUUGGUUUCUAGGAUCGACGUAAUGAUUAAUAGGGAUAGUUGGGGGCAUUAGUAUUCAAUUGUCAGAGGUGAAAUUCUUGGAUUUAUUGAAGACUAACUACUGCGAAAGCAUUUGCCAAGGAUGUUUUCAUUAAUCAAGAACGAAAGUUAGGGGAUCGAAGACGAUCAGAUACCGUCGUAGUCUUAACCAUAAACUAUGCCGACUAGGGAUCGGAUGAUGUUAAUUUUUUAAUGACUCA